CCUUUUGUUCUCUCCUGGAGCUGGGACACUCUUCAUCUCCUGAACUUUGGACAUUAGAAUUCCAUUCUCCCUGGCCUUGAGACUCUGAGACUUACACAAGCAGCCCCACCCAGGUUCUCAGGCCUUCGGACUCACAUUGAGAAUUACACCAUCAGCUUCCCUGGUUCUGAUUCUUUAGAACUUGGACUGAGCCACGCUACUAUCAUCCCAGGGUCUCCAGCUUACAAGUGUCCUGCCAUGGGACUUCUCAGCCUCCAUAAUCAGAUAGAUGAUACCAAAGCGGCCAACGAGUUUAAAACUCUUUUUGCGCAGUAGGAAUGACUCCAUGAAGAUUUCUCAUCAUGGAGCCCAGACUAGAUGGACCCAAAUCUCCAGACUCCCAGCUCUUCUGUAAACCCCAUCCUGAUUCUCUGAGUCUCUGAAUCUUUUAUCCUCAUUUUCUUCCCAACUGUCCAUAAUGUAGAAUUUAAAUAAAAGAUUAAAUGUAAUCUUUAUAACAUUAUUAUAUUAUUGAACAGUUUCAGGUUUCUUGUUCUUAUUUACAAAAAACUAAUAAGUAGAAAUUUUAUACUUCUCUGAGCAUAAAACUAUACAAAAUAAAAAUUAUAUAAAAUUAAUUUGAUUUUCACUUAUGAGGUCUAUAAUUAUUCCCUUCAUGGUUAAUUAUCCUCAAUAGGAAACAAAUGGUUUCCUACCUUCUUACUAAGUUACAAAACUCUCAUUUAUUAAUAAUCAUUUAUAUUAAUAAUAAUUACUAAAUUGAAUAUGCCAGCUCUUACCAGAUUUAUGCUAGACUUUAAUAAGUCCCUCUCUUCCCAGAAGCAGGAACAAAGUAGAGAUGCAUCAAAUGAGCUAAAUCUAAUCUAAUUUUCCUUAUUGAGACUGGUUCUUAGGACCCUUCUUUCAUACUCUGGAAACUGGGACACACUUGUAAAUAUUAAGUGGUUGUAAAGAGAUGGCCUGUGACAUGCCUGCAAUCCCAGCACUUUGGGAGGCCAAGGCGGGCAGAUCACCUGAGGUCAGGAGUUAAAGACCAGCCUGGACAACAUGGUGAAGCUAAGUCUCUACUAAAAAUACAAAAAUUAGCCAGGCGUGGUGGCAGGUACCUGUAAUCCCAGCUACUGGGAGGCUGAGGCAGGAGAAUCGCUUGAACCCAGGAGGCAGAGGUUGCAGUGAGCCGACAUCACGCCACUGCACUCCAGCCUGAUGACAGAUCGAGACUCUGUCCCUCCCCCUUUCCCCCCCAAAAAAAAAAGAGAUGGCUGUGAGUGGUGGGUCCUUGCAUUUGCUCUUGUCCUCACUUUGAAGUGCCUACCUACACUCUUGAUGCCCAGCUGAAGCUUCCAUUUGUAGCACCCUGUAUCAUACAUACCAUUGUUUAGCAUCAGGCUCACUUUCCUUCUGUAGAAAGACGCAUAGGUGAAGUCUCCUUAAUGCACUGAAGCCACUUCUGCACUUAACAGAUGGUGGGCUUGAGUUUGGUAUAUGUAUCUCCUUCCCACGGGUGUGACAUCUUUCACCAGAUGUCAGCCUCCACAUGAGAACUUAACUCAGCAGCCGAGUUCUGAAAAAGGCACAGUGCCUUCUCUGAACCAUCAAAGAAUGAGUCUUCCCAAUAGCUACAAAUAACUACGAGUCACUGAUAACUUAUAUCUGUCUGCUCUUUCUUGAAGGAUAUUUAAAUUCAAUCCUCAGAUUAGAAAUAAAAAACCUAAUCAGAUAUUUCUGCCUCUAUAUACAUAUAGAGGUGCUAAUCAGAUAUUAGCACCUCUAUAUAGAGAGAGACAGAAAAUACACAGUCCUCACAAAAGUUCCAGGCAUUCCAAAAGCAAAUACCUACUGGUACCAAGUGCGCAACCCAAGUGACUGCAAGUGCAUGAUGAGCUGGUGAGGCUUGCGGUGCCUGAAGAGCAUGGGCUCUCUUCGUGAAGACAUUAAACAUGAAUUGGGCCAGACAAAGCUCUCUGUGGUCACAUUAGUCCAGGUUAUGGCCCCUGUGCAUCGUAAUGUGAAACUGUGAUUAAGGCAAGAACACUUACCACAGUGUCUGAUGGUGAAUACUGAGUGUGAACUUGAUUGGACUGAAGGACGCAAAGUAUUGUUCCUGGGUGUGUCUGUGAGGGUGUCACCAAAAGAGGCUGACAUUUGAGUCAGUGGACUGGGAGAGGCGGACCCACCCUCAAUCUGGAUGGGCACCAUCCAAUCAGCUGCCAGUGUGGCUAGAAUACAGCAGGCAGAAGAAGUUGGAAGGACUUGACUUGCUGAGUCUUCCAGCCUUCAUCUUUCUCCUCUGCUGGAUGCUUCCUGCCCUUGAACAUCAGACUCCAACUUCUUCAGCUUUUGGACUCUUGAACUUAACACCCGUGGUUUGCCAGGGGCUCUCGGGCCUUUGGCCGCAGACUGAAGGCUGCACUGUCGGCUUCCCAGUUUUUGAGGUUUUGGGACUUGGACUGGCUUCCUGGCUUCUCAGCUUGCAGACGGCCUAUGGUGGGACUUCACCUUGUGAUCGUGUGAGUCAAUACUUAAUAAACUCCCUUCCAUAUAUACAUCUAUCCUAUUAGGGAACCCUGAUUAAUACACAGUGUUUUCAUGUGUGUUUGUUAUACUUCAAUCAAGAUUAUUAUGUUAUCAUGAUACCUGAUACUUCCCCUCAUGAAGGAUUGAGUUUAGGUUUAAAAUUGGAAGGCAAAGCAGCAUUUAUGAGGAGGCAGGUCUAUGAGGCAUUCUGAAAUUCCAGAACUGCAAGCAUCGCUAUCUGCUUCUAUUUCCUUAGGGAUGCUUGGUCUUGAGCAGUUAAAGAAAAGUAAGUAUGUUACUUGCCCAUUAAAAGGCAGAAUUGUAGCACAGAAUCUUUCCAGUAAAG
rnacentral:lncRNA from 1 species